rnacentral:rRNA from 1 species
GCAUCCUACGGGACGCAGCAGUGAGGAAUAUUGGUCAAUGGGCGCGAGCCUGAACCAGCCAAGUCGCGUGAGGGAAGACGGUCCUAUGGAUUGUAAACCUCUUUUGUCGGGGAGCAAAAGACGCCACGCGUGGCGUUCCGAGAGUACCCGAAGAAAAAGCAUCGGCUAACUCCGUGCCAGCAGCCGCGGUAAUACGGAGGAUGCGCGCGUUAUCCGGAUUUAUUGGGUUUAAAGGGUGCGCCGGCGGCAGAUCAAGUCAGCGGUAAAAUUGAGAGGCUCAACCUCUUCGAGUCGUUGCAACUGGU